UACAGAGGUCUCAAGCGUUGUUCGGAUUCAUUGGGCGUAAAGGGUGCGUAGGUGGCGGGGUAAGUCAGGUGUGAAAUCCCAGGGCUCAACCCUGGGCGUGCAGUGGAUACGGGCAGGCUGGAGGCAGGCAGGGGGAGAACGGAAUUCCCGGUGUAGCGGUGAAAUGCGCAGAUAUCGGGAGGAACACCGGUGGCGAAGGCGGUUCUCUGGGCCUGUACUGACGCUGAGGAGCGAAAGCGUGGGGGAGCAAACAGG
rnacentral:rRNA from 1 species